UACGUAGGGUGCAAGCGUCAAUCGGAAUUACUGGGCGUAAAGCGUGCGCAGGCGGUUUGAAAAGUCAGAUGUGAAAUCCCCGGGCUCAACCUGGGAACUGCGUUUGAAACUCUCAAGCUAGAAUAUGUCAGAGGGGGGUAGAAUUCCACGUGUAGCAGUGAAAUGCGUAGAGAUGUGGAGGAAUACCAAUGGCGAAGGCAGCCCCCUGGGAUAAUAUUGACGCUCAUGCACGAAAGCGUGGGGAGCAAACAGG
rnacentral:rRNA from 1 species